rnacentral:misc_RNA from 1 species
GAUGAAGAACGCAGCGAAAUGCGAUAAGUGAUGUGAAUUGCAGAAUUCAGUGAAUCAUCGAAUCUUUGAACGCACAUUGCGCCCAUUAGUAUUCUAGUGGGCAUGCCUGUUCGAGCGUCAUUAAUUCCACUUAAGCCCUGCUUAGUGUUGGGAAUCUACUCUAGUGGUGCUACCCUGGAGCUACCCCUGAAAGGGGGCUGGCCCGGUAGCUACCCUGUAGUUCCUCAAAGAUAGUGCGCGGAGUUGCGUGGUCCUCUGAGCUUAGUAACUAUACACCUAGCUUUUGAGUGUCCCGCGGCGCCUGCCGUUUAAACCCCAUCUUUUAAUGGUUGACCUCGGAUCAGGUAGGAAUACCCGCUGAACUUAAGCAUAUCAAUAAGCGGAGGA